AUGCUUGCAAAGCAGUCCUGGAGGCUACUCUCAAAUCCGGAUUCUCUUUGUGCGCAAGUUCUGAAAGCAAAGUAUUUUCCGAACUAUUCUUUUAUUAGAGCAGGUCCGAAGAAAGGAUCUUUCUUUACGUGGCAGAGUAUUGUGGCAGGUUCAAGCACUUUUCAAAGAGGGCAUAUUUGGUGUGUCGGUACGGGUGAAAUGAUUAACAUUUGGGAAGACCAUUGGGUUCCUGGUAGUCCUUCUCGUAUGAUCCAAACACCAAGAGGGAACACUUUGCUGCAAACUGUUAAUGAAUUAAUAGAUCCUACUACAGGAACUUGGGAUGAGGUUCUUUUGAGAGAGAUUCUCUCUCCAAUUGAUGUGCACAUAAUUCUUAGUAUCCCUCUGAGUGCACACCUUGAUGAGGACUUCAUAGCAUGGCACUUCACAAAAUCAUAUAUUUUUUCAGUGCGUUCGGCAUACUACAUAGAAUGGGAUCAUUCACAUAGACACAGACUCAUUCGGGCAGAUGGCCAAGGACCGUCUGAGCGUAACCCAGUGUGGGAAAUCCUUUGGAAAUUGCAAGUGCCGAGUAAAGUGAAGAUUUUUGGCUGGAAAGCCUUACAUGGUAUGGUCCCAGGAUUGGCAAUUCUUGCGAACAGACAUAUCCCAACGACUUCUCAGUGUCCUGUUUGUGAGUGUGGUGCAGAAGAUAUCAAACAUCUUAUGUUUACGUGUAGUCGAGCAAGGGAAGUAUGGCAUACUUUGGGACUGCUAGACUACAUUGAUGAAUUUACACCUGUAGAUAGGUCAGGUUCUAUUGUUCUGGAAGAGAUGCUUCGACAGCCCAAAACCACAUCGCCGGUAAUUGAUAAUGUUGGUCUGAAGGAAUUAAUUCUUGUGGGAGCAUGGUAUAUAUGGUGGCAGGAGGGAAUUCGUCAAGGGAGAACGUGUGGCUGA
rnacentral:rRNA from 1 species